CCCUUAGAUGUUCUGGGCCGCACGCGCGCUACACUGUUCGACGCAGCGAGUCUUAACCUUGACCGAAAGGUUUGGGUAAUCUUCAGCAAAGUCGAACGUGAUGGGGAUCGAUCAUUGCAAUUAUUGAUCGUGAACGAGGAAUUCCUAGUAAGUGCAAGUCAUCAGCUUGCGCUGAUUACGUCCCUGCCCUUUGUACACACCGCCCGUCGCUCCUACCGAUUGGGUGUGCUGGUGAAAUGUUCGGAUCGGCCGUUUGUCGCGGUUUCCGCGGCUCGUGGCUGAGAAGUUCAUUAAACCCUCCCACCUAGAGGAAGGAGAAGUCGUAACA
rnacentral:rRNA from 1 species